rfam:Gossypium raimondii chromosome 4, whole genome shotgun sequence.
GGACAGAUGGCUAAGUGAACUAAAGCAUCGAAUUGCUAAUUCGUUAUGCGAGUUACUUGUAUUGAAGGUUAGAAUUCCUCUAUUUCCA